rnacentral:rRNA from 1 species
AGCGAACGCUGGCGGCAGGCCUAACACAUGCAAGUCGAACGAACCUUUCGGGGUUAGUGGCUGACGGGUGAGUAACACGUGGGAACGUUCCUUUAGGUUCGGAAUAACUCAUGGAAACUUGUGCUAAUACCGAAUGUGCCCUUCGGGGGAAAGAUUUAUCGCCUGUAGAGCGGCCCGCGUCUUAUUAGCUAGUUGGUUGAGGUAAUGGCGCACCAAGGCGACGAUCAGUAGCGGGUCUGAGAGGAUGAUCAGCCACAUUGGGACUGAGACACGGCCCAGACUACUACGGGAGGCAGCAGUGGGGAAUCUUGCGCAAUGGGCGAAAGCCUGACGGAGCCAUGCCGCGUGAAUGAUGAAGGUCUUAGGAUUGUAAAAUUCUUUAACAGGGGACGAUAAUGACGGUACCCGGAGAAGAAGCCCCGGCUAACUUCGUG